rnacentral:misc_RNA from 1 species
CAUUUCGAUCUCCACGAGAAGUGAUCAGUGUUCUCCUUGACUGCUCUCCUUGACUCCAGUGUCGCUGCAGCUGCUGUAGCACUCCUGCACCGCAUUAGUUCCUCCUCCCCGCAAUCAUCCUGCAGACUGGUAUCUCGAACACAUCGAAAAUACACAAGCGCGCAGAGCCGCACCGUUUGAUGAUCUGUCAUCAUUACGUGGGACGCAAGAGAGGCAAAGGCAAAUCGGCAGCGCGGUUGCCGUGUGUAGAGUGCAACAUGUUUUGUUUUUGAUGUCGGUUGUUCGAUCGAAACCUUUUCAGCUAUUGCGAAAGAAAGGGGAAACACGUGUAGUGUGAAGUGCGCAGCUUCUUGUUGUUGUCGAGGGCAUAGUUUCAGAUCUGCAACGGCUCUCUCUCUUUAUCUUGCCCAGCUGCACGCCUUGUUGCCCCCACAACGUUGAAGCGGUGGCGUGUGUGUAUGUGGGUGUGUGCGCGCGCGCUACUCCACCUGCAAGCAUCACGGACCCUCGCAAUGGUCAAGGUCCCCCAGCAGUACUACGACACAUGCGCGUGGGUGCGGCAUCACUACACGCAGGCAGGUGCAUCGGUUGUCAGAACUGCCCCCUCCGGCGGCAGCAAGCCGUCUGUUUACACGCUGCCCAUGAGUGAGCCGAACCGGGACCUUGUGCUUGAGCUUUUUCCCCCUCCUGCGGAGAAGACGACGGUAGCGGCAGCGUCAUCGGCACACUCAGCUGUGCAGCCGCGACGCAGCGACGCAGAGAAGGAGACCCUCGAAAGCCGGUACAAUCGCCUGCUUCUUCGCAUCAUCGAUGGUAUCGCCAGCUCUCACGCCGCCGAUUGAGCGAGGCAACUGGGCAAAGGCCCCUGCCUUUUCGUUUUCAAGCGUCAUCACCUAUCACCCUCUUGCUGCAAUCUCUGUUGCUGAAGAUGCUGUUCGUUUCGUUUGUCAGCCCAUCUCCCAUGUACACUACUUUGCUUCAGCGCUGCAGCGGCAUUCGACGCCCUGUAGCUUGAGCUUGUGGCUUUUUCUUCCCACUGUCACUCUGACGCAAAACUGUGGAACACGCCAGACGAACAGCAGCAAAAAAAAAAGAAACGAAAGGACACGAAAAAUAGGGAAACUCCGUCUCUUGGGAAGGAGGGGCCUCCACGUUCACUGGAGAUAGAGCCCCUCGCCUUCCCUGACUUUCUUCUGCCGCCCAAUGUGCCCUGCACCAUCUCACGUUUUGGGCGAAGCUGCAUGCGUAGUGUGCAGCGCAAGACGAUCAGGACAGCCUC